AUUGAACGCUGGCGGCAGGCUUAACACAUGCAAGUCGAACGAGUGGCGGACGGGUGAGUAAUGCUUGGGAAUCUAGCUUAUGGAGGGGGAUAACUACGGGAAACUGUAGCUAAUACCGCGUACCAUAGGAUGAGCCCAAGUGGGAUUAGGUAGUUGGUGAGGUAAAGGCUCACCUAGGCGACGAUCUCUAGCUGGUCUGAGAGGAUGAUCAGCCACACGGGGACUACGACACGGCCCAGACUCCUACGGGAGGCAGCAGUGGGGAAUAUUGCACAAUGUGCGCAAGCCUGAUGCAGCCAUGCCGCGUGUAUGAAGAAGGCCUUAGGGUUGUAAAGUACUUUCAGCGAGGAGGCGUUACUCGCAGAAGAAGCACCGGCUAACUCCGUGCCAGCAGCCGCGGUAAUAC
rnacentral:rRNA from 1 species